AAAUAAACCUGAUGGGAACGGCAUCCCGAUUUUUUCUAUCGGGAUAUAGUGUACAGCAGGGCUACCG
rnacentral:misc_RNA from 1 species